rnacentral:rRNA from 1 species
UGGGGAAUUUUGCGCAAUGGGGGAAACCCUGACGCAGCAACGCCGCGUGAGUGAUGAAGGCCUUCGGGUCGUAAAGCUCUGUCAGAGGGGAAGAAAUGCAGGGGUGCUAAUAUCAUCUUUGCUUGACGGUACCCUCAAAGGAAGCACCGGCUAACUCCGUGCCAGCAGCCGCGGUAAUACGGAGGGUGCGAGCGUUGUUCGGAAUUAUUGGGCGUAAAGCGCGUGUAGGCGGUUUGGUAAGUCUGAUGUGAAAGCCCCGGGCUCAACCUGGGAAGUGCAUUGGAAACUGUCAGACUUGAAUACGGGAGAGGGUAGUGGAAUUCCCAGCGUAGGAGUGAAAUCCGUAGAUAUUAGGAGGGACACCGGUGGCGAAGGCGGCUACCUGGACCGAUAUUGACGCUGAGACGCGAAAGCGUGGGGAGCAAACAG